AAAUAUCUCUGGAUGGUUGUACUCCUCUUGACUGUCACCGGUUGUUGGAAGGGAAUACAUUUCUAGUCCUUGUUACUUCUCUGUGUGAUUUCUUUGGGCAUGGUAGCAGAAAAUGAAGGUUUUGAUUUGUUGUUUCAGAAAAAUUGCAAUGUCUUCUGUCAUGCAAUUUGACCACAGAAUUGCUGUUGUAAAAAUGAAGCGUUAUACUUUAUGACCUUUACUUUGCUUAGACAAAUAUGAUAGUUUCAUUGGACACUACUGAACAAUAGGGAAACAGCAUGUCCAUAUGUCUGUGUAGAUCAUAAUCAAAAUACAUAGUUUGAUUUACAACCCAGUGCAACAUUUCAUUUCAAAUUAAUGUGGAUAUUCAUUUUCUUCUGCUUAAGCACUAUAUACUCAGUGAUUCAAUAAGCAACUAGAUAACCACAGUUAAAGAGUUUUCCACUCUGUUUAAUAUAACCUUUUAGAUGGCAGGAAAUGCAGCCACCUAUGAUAAUGUUUCCUGGGGAAUAGCAUAAUUUCACUGUUCACCCUGAAUAACAUAUUCAGCCUGUGUAACUAAGAAAAAAAAAUAUUGAAUACAUGUUCUAUAAUAUAUCAAGUGCAUUGUGAUUUCUUUCAGUAAAAAUCAUCAAUUUUCAUCAUGUUCCUGGUACCAUGAGAUGCUAUCAAAAGAAGGAAUAUGCUUAACUAUUCCAUCUACUUUUUAACUACCUAUGAAGCCCAUUAUUGUAGUUUUUCCUUCUUUUGGAAAAAAAGCCAAACAAACUAAACAACCAUGGGCUGGAAUGUAUUGCUUUAUCUCCGCUUGUAGUGAGAAGUUUGCACAUUUGCAGCAUAUAAGUAAUAACUUUAAUUCUCUAUUAAAUUAAAACUGAAUUUACAUAUCAAAGUUUAUGAUGGUUAUGCUACAGGCAAAACAUCAGGAUAUUCGUGUAUAUUUCCCUUAUCCAUGUAACCUCCUCCUAUCUAUGUCACCACACCUGCUUCAUGGUACUUACAGCUCCAGCACUCCUAUAUGACAUGUUCUUCUUAAAUCUCAAGGUUGUAUCAACUUCUUUUACUUAAAGUUGUACUUAUUUUUGUCUUUCCAUGAGUAUUGUGAGUGAGCAUGCAAAAGAGAACAAAGAAAGGAGACAGAUGUGAUGGAGUGAAAGACAGUGCAAAUCAUAUAAAUAACUUUUUCCAGGAAAAAAAUGGUCUUGUGUGAACAUUAGUCACUUCAAGCUGAAUCUUUGGGUGUCCAGGAAGGAAGGCUGUAAAUGCAUCCUUCAGCUGUAAUUUAGAUAUCUAUUAAAAAAAAAAUAAAAAAAUCAGUACU
ensembl:lncRNA